CAGUAGCCACGGUAAUACGAAGGGGGCUAGCGUUGCUCGGAAUUACUGGGCGUAAAGGGCGCGUAGGCGGACAGUUCAGUCAGGGGUGAAAGCCCGGGGCUCAACCUCGGAAUUGCCUUUGAUACUGGCUGUCUUGAGUACGGGAGAGGUGUGUGGAACUCCGAGUGUAGAGGUGAAAUUCGUAGAUAUUCGGAAGAACACCAGUGGCGAAGGCGACACGCUGGCCCGUUACUGACGCUGAUGCGCGAAAGCGUGGGGAGCAAACAGGAUUAGAUACCCCUGUAGUCCCUGUCUCUUAUAC
rnacentral:rRNA from 1 species